GGUGGCGUGGCCUAAUGGUAAGGCGUUGCUUUCCGGUUACACCUGCGAUCCCUUAGGGGAAUGGCAAAGACUGUGGGUUCGAGUCCCAUCGCCAUCG
rnacentral:tRNA from 1 species